AUUGAACGCUGGCGGCAUGCCUUACACAUGCAAGUCGAACGGCAGCACGGGAGCAAUCCUGGUGGCGAGUGGCGAACGGGUGAGUAAAGUAUCGGAACGUGCCCAGUCGUGGGGGAUAACGUAGCGAAAGUUACGCUAAUACCGCAUACGAUCUAUGGAUGAAAGCGGGGGAUCGCAAGACCUCGCGCGAUUGGAGCGGCCGAUAUCAGAUUAGGUAGUUGGUGGGGUAAAGGCUCACCAAGCCGACGAUCUGUAGCUGGUCUGAGAGGACGACCAGCCACACUGGGACUGAGACACGGCCCAGACUCCUACGGGAGGCAGGAGUGGGGAAUUGUGGACAAUGGGCGAAAGCCUGAUCCAGCCAUGCCGCGUGCAGGAUGAAGGUCUUCGGGUUGUAAACUGCUUUUGUACGGAACGAAAAGGCUUGGGCUAAUAAGCUGAGCUCAUGACGGUACCGUAAGAAUAAGCACCGGCUAACUACGUGCCAGCCGCCGCAGUAA
rnacentral:rRNA from 1 species